rnacentral:piRNA from 1 species
CAUUUUAUUCUUUGUGCCAUACC